GGCCCAAAUUUGAAGUAGAGUAGAUUAGAAGGAUCAUGUGACCCUUCUAAAUUACUCUACUUUGAGUUUGUGCCC
rfam:Haemonchus contortus, ISE/inbred ISE, WGS project CAVP01000000 data, contig: Hcontortus_7725